rnacentral:rRNA from 1 species
CAGUCGCCGCGGUAAUACGGAGGGCGCGAGCGUUACCCGGAUUUACUGGGCGUAAAGGGCGUGUAGGCGGCCUGGGGCGUCCCAUGUGAAAGGCCACGGCUCAACCGUGGAGGAGCGUGGGAUACGCUCAGGCUAGAGGGUGGGAGAGGGUGGUGGAAUUCCCGGAGUAGCAGUGAAAUGCGCAGAUACCGGGAGGAACGCCGAUGGCGAAGGCAGCCACCUGGUCCACUUCUGACGCUGAGGCGCGAAAGCGUGGGGAGCAAACCGGAUUAGAUACCCCGGUAGUCCCUGUCUCUUAUAC